rnacentral:rRNA from 1 species
AUUGAACGCUAGCGGGAUGCUUUACACAUGCAGGUCGAACGGCAGCGCGGACUUCGGUCUGGCGGCGAGUGGCGAACGGGUGAGUAAUGUAUCUGAACGUGCCCAGUAGCGGGGGAUAACUACGCGAAAGCGUAGCUAAUACCGCAUACGCCCUACGGUGGAAAGCAGGGGAUCGUAAGACCUUGCACUAUUGGGGCGGCCGAUAUCGGAUUAGAUAGUUGGUGAGGUAACGGCUCACCCAGGCGACGAUCCGUAGCUGGUUUGAGAGGACGACCAGCCACACUGGGACUGAGACACGGCCCAGACUCCUACGCGAGGCAGCAGUGGGGAAUUUUGGACAAUGGGGGCAACCCUGAUCCAGCCAUCCCGCGUGUGCGAUGAAGGCCUUCGGGUUGUAAAGCACUUUUGGCGGGAAAGAAACGUAGCGGGCUAAUACCGCGUGGAACUGACGGUACCUGCAGAAUAAGCACCGGCUAACUACGUG